UCUACCUCGGUGCCGGAAAGGCGGAGAGUGAGCCGCGCGGUAGUGCGGUGUUAUCUUUAGCAGAUCGAGAGAGCACGGAAGGGGUGGGGAUCUCAUCAGCGGAGAGCGCCCCGCGUGAGUGGGCGGGGAGCUCGUCGGAGGAGAGGGAGAACGCCUGAGGGGGUGAUCGGUCGGCUGCGGAGGACUUCCCGUGCUCAAGGGCUCAUCGGCCGCGGAGGGUGGAGAGCGACAGCGAUCUGCAAGUCUGCAACGGGAGAAUAUGUUCCUGGUUCGACUCUGUGUGGUUCGUUUUGAUUGAAGUGGGGACGCCCUGAUGUGAUUCGGUAGGGUUGCUGGCGUCUUCCUCGACAAUGUUCCUGAGCUGCUGCCGCCGGCCACAUCCAUCGCCCCUUCCAACCAUCCUACUACACCGGCACCAGCCCUCCUUCCCCCACAUCCACUAGGUGCCGCCGGAGCACCCCGCCUCUCUUCACGGCAUCGGCGCGCACUGCACAGCCCGGUGCCCCAUAGGUUGCAGUCAAUUAAGUUGUAUGUACCUGUCCAACUAAGUUGCUUCAUCGGACAACAUGGUUUAUCAAUUUACGCACACAGUUUAGUGGAGAUCUGUAGGAGAGAAAGAAGAUUAGUGGAGAUCUACAGGAGAUGAAGAAGAGAAACUGUUGCAGGUGUCACUGCCACGUGGUCCUGGGCUGGGGCCUGGUUAGCGUUGCAUUAGAAGAUGAGGGCUGACCCAGGACGAGCGGAAACCUAAUCAGGGACUCGAGGACGCGCGGGAGCCUGGCCGCUGGCGUGCGUUACUUUUUUUUUGGACCAAGUGCUGGGUCGGACUAGCCAGCAUCCAGAUGUUGGGUUGGACAAACUAGCACCCGGAUGCUGGGAUGGACUAGCCAAGCACCGGAUGCUAGCUAGCCGUGUCCUUUAAUUAUACCCUCCAACAUGGAAUCAAAACAUUUUGGAACAUGCCAAGCGAUUUCGAACCGAGCCUUGAAAGCCCUACUCAUUCAGUCUGAAAGCUGCAAAAAUAUUACACUAGAGAGAGAGAGAGAGAGAGUCUUCAAAAUAA